UACAGAGGGGGCAAGCGUUAUUCGGAAUUAUUGGGCGUAAAGGGCUCGUAGGCGGUUCGUCACGUCGGGAGUGAAAACUCGGGGCUUAACCCCGAGCCUGCUUCCGAUACGGGCAGACUAGAGGUAGGCAGGGGAGAGCGGAACUCCCGGUGUAGCGGUGAAAUGCGUAGAGAUCGGGAGGAACACCAGUGGCGAAGGCGGCUACCUGGACCAGCACUGACACUGAGGCACGAAAGCGUGGGGAGCAAACAGG
rnacentral:rRNA from 1 species